CUCUAAAUCGACAUCUGGAAUUAUGUUAUCUUCACCGUUACAUUUCGAACAUAUGUGAUCAGGAUAUUUAUGUCCAAUUAAUUUGCAAUAUCUGGUUAGUAACUCUGUCGAAAUAAAUCCUGCCUUUAGUGCUCUCGUCGUAGGUCGUUCUUCUGGCUUAAGUAAUGACAAAAUCCAUCUCUGGACUUCAUCCAUAUCUGCUUUCCUUAGCUCCCUUGAAUUGGAAUAAAUC
rnacentral:lncRNA from 1 species